AAAUAGAUAAUGGAUGAAACCAUCGUCUGAUGAAUAUUGUCCAUAAGAUUAUCACAAGCAACUGAGUUGAAUUAAAAUGAUGUUUAUACAUGAGGAGAUUUUCAUUUCAGAAUGUAGUCUGUACAAUAAGAAGAAUCUGUGGAUUAAAUGCUGAGAUUCAGAGACAAGAAAGCACAACACAAAGUGUUGCAAGUUCAUGGGCCUUUGCCUCUGAGUUAGUUGCUGUGUAUAAAAACAGAAAUCACACUGAUUCUGCCCAGAAUUGCUGUAUUCUCUCUGCUUGCUUCAUUUGGAGGCACUGCAAUUAUGUCUAAGAGGAUCUAUUUCCGCACCAUAUAAUUUAAUUACCUUUUCCCAUAGGCCAACGUAUGAGAUGCGACAUCCAGUUGCUAAAAUGGUGACCUUUAGCUUCCAUGGACCAGUGAGGGAUACACGUGACUAGCAUGUGAUUAAUUUGGUCUUCUGGUCUGAGCACUGGUUUCUCUGGAUCCUGGUAGGAAGCACAAGAAGAAAGCGUGUCCAUUGUUCUUCAUGACAAAUACUGAAGAUCUUUCCUAGGAUUGUUGGAAUUACAUUAAACACAAGAUUUAAAAGAAAAAGAGAAAUGGCUGCUUUAAAUGACACCAUGGCUGCAGUUAACAGAAUUGGGUAGGCAUGGACUUCAAUGGAAAGCUGUACCUCUGAAGGAAAUAUCCUUCUUUCUUCAGGCCAUUGCCAUGACAUUUCAGAUCAACUUCAUUUACUUAUCACAAAAGGAUCUCAGUGGGAUUUUCUGUUUCCCUCUUACUGCCUCCACUAAAGGAGAACGUCUGUGCAAUUCUGUGAGUUUGUCUCCCAACCCUCAAGACUGUUAUGAGUCAACUAAGAGGUCUUAUUCUGUUCACAGUACUGGGAUAUUUAAGCAACUUCAGUUCGUGUUUUAAACAAUUAGAAAAUUCACAGCUCAUCCAGACUGAAGUUUCUGAAUUCUGUAAUAAAGGCACAUAUCUCAGUGCAAGUCACCACUCCAACUUCCUGAAAGCACAAAGAGACCUUCCCUCCUCCAGCAAAUAUUGCCAUACUUCUGUGCCCUCUCUCAUCUUUGGAGUAAUACAUGAGCUUUUUUACAGUAGGUUUGGUUUUCAAAGCUAGGUUUAAAAAUAAACCAGAAGAGAGAACAGAUGGGCUCCA
rnacentral:lncRNA from 1 species